rnacentral:rRNA from 1 species
CCUACGGGAGGCAGCAGUAGGGAAUCUUCCACAAUGGGCGCAAGCCUGAUGGAGCAACGCCGCGUGGGUGAAGAAGGUCUUCGGAUCGUAAAACCCUGUUGUUAGAGAAGAAAGUGCGAGAGAGUAACUGUUCACGUUUCGACGGUAUCUAACCAGAAAGCCACGGCUAAUUACGUGCCAGCAGCCGCGGUAAUACGUAGGUGGCAAGCGUUAUCCGGAUUUCUUGGGCGUAAAGGGAACGCAGGCGGUCUGUGAAGUCUGAUGUGAAAGCCUUCGGCUUAACCGGAGUAGUGCAUUGGAAACUGGGGGACUUGAGUGCAGGAGAGGAGAGUGGAACUCCAGGUGUAGCGGUGAAAUGCGUAGAUAGAAGGAAGAACACCAGUGGCGAAGGCGGCUCUCUGGUCUGUAACUGACGCUGAGGUUCGAAAGCGUGGGGAGCAAACAGGAUUAGAUACCCGUGUAGUC